ACUGCAUCUUUGCCUAAGAUAUAGCCCUUGGCAAGCAUGCUACUAACCACAUCCUCUGCCUUCUGGAAGGCAGAUUCAGCACCACCAGGCGUUUUAUUUUCCGUUGCUGAGGGUGCUAAAGCUGCAGGUGGCAGCUUAUAAUCUGGAUCUGGCGUUAUUGUGACAGACAGGUCUACUAUUGUUGCUCCCGAAAGAAGAACAGCAGUUUCUGCACCCUGUGAAUCUUUGAAGGUAACAUACGCAACUUGAGAACGCUCAUUAUCACUCCGCACUUCAACAUAUUCAAUAUCACCAGAAAA
rnacentral:misc_RNA from 1 species